GCCACCGGGCCGCCCUUCCCCUGCCGGCGACCGCCGUGGAGACCGAGCACCGCCAAAAGCCGGAGGCCAGCUCUCCGCCGACAGGUUCCCUCCUUUGCCUCCUUCCCCGUUGGACAUCCCACUUUGCUUGGUAAACCCUAAUCCACCUCUGAUUUCCCCUUUUGUUUUCUAAACCCAACUGAUUCCAUUUAUUCUUCAAAAGGAACCAUGUGAAGACUAAAUAUUACUAGUCAUGAACUUGAUAUCCUUGAACCUCAGACGCUCGGUUAUUUGUGGCUUUGGGGGGAGCUGGGCUGCGGCACAUUUGGAAGAUUUUUUUUCUUGGAGAACAUGAAUUAGGAGGCACUUGUUUGGAUUAUUUUUAGAACCAGUCGGUAGGAUACAAUGAUUGCUGUGCGCUGCUAGCAAUUUUUUUUUUACUUUAGCACUGUGCAAGAUUGAAGUUCUUGCUCUCCCUCUUGGACAGGAAAAAUGGUUGAGCAUCUCUUUGAGGAUAUCUUCACUUUGACCAGGAUCGAUCCUGAUGGGAAGAAGUUCGACAUAUGUGAUUCUCUCUGGCUGUUCCACCUGAUGAAUUCUGAGUUAUGCUAGGCCGUGCUUUACUCUGCCAAACCGUGCUGCUCAUGUAUGUUGAUUCUUGGAGUGCUGUUAGCAAUGACUUGUUAAUCGCAGCGAGGCUAGAUGCGAGCAGUUCGAUAUGUUGAUGGAAUUAGAUGUCGCUACUGAUGUCUACCCGAUUCAUACUGGUGAAAAUUUCACCAUGGUUUUGACUCCUACACUGAAUCUGGAUGGAACUCCAGACACUGGCUACUAUACAGAGGCUGGUAGGAAAACCCUUGCUGGCAAGUAUGACUAUGUCAUGCAUGGAAAGCUUUACAAGAUUUCAGAGGACAGUUCCAGUGGUCAUGCUACUAAAGUUCUCUCAAGAUAAGAAGCUCCAUUGUCAUUGACAAAUGUGGGUCGCUUUCCCUGGAAAUGAAUGCUAUUCCAAAUGAAAUAAUGCCAUGGGCUGUUCCCAUGUGGAGAUCUUGGUGAGACUCGUACAAAGAACAAGGUUCCAUCUGGUGAAUGGCUACCCCUCAAUAAAAAAAAAAGGUGAAUGGCUGAUUGAAGGGUUUGGUUUUACAUAUUUGAUAUUCCUUUUAUAGUUUGUACUUACUAGAAAAGCGCUUAAAUAUUUGCAAGAUGCUACAGAUGUAUUGAUAGUGUGCUGGGAUAGUUAUUUACAUUUUCUCACAAUGCCUGUGUGUAUGUCUGACUGCAGCUGAUCUGAGCAAUUUACCUGUGCAAGUGCAACUGCUCUAAUGAUUCUACUCUGCCCGCUUUCCCUUUCCUGGGAGAUUUAUGUGUCUUUUGGUGGCCUCCUGAUGUUGGUCAAAGGCGAUCCUUGGAGUGCCGCCAACCUCAAGCUGGAUCAAAGGCCGUUCCUCAUACGAAAGGUGUAAAUGAGCAGUGCAAGACACCACCAACGCUUGCAGUUCACUCAAGGCCGCUCCUCUUUUUUUUUUCUUUUGCGAAUAUUAUUCUUUGUUCCCCUGGAGCACAUUACGCGCGUUUCUACCGUAAGUUACCGAUGUUUCGCAUAGUACAUUACAAUGUUGCAUCAAUGUUAUUAUCUUCAAUGACUA